GCCCUUAUUUUAUUUUCCUUUUUGUGUCCUCUUCAUUGUCAUGAUAAGCAUUAGAAACAAAAGAUAGUCAAGUUCUGGAGAGGGUCAGUUGUCUUUCCUCUCUUCCUUUCAACAAGCAUUUAUAAAACACCUGGCAUGUGCUGGUCACUGACACUGACACUAGAAGUACCAGGAGAAAUAAGAUAUGGUGUCUUAUUUACCCUCAAGUAGCUCACAGUCUGGAAGAUAACCCAGGCUGAAAAUCAGUCCCCAGAUGUUAGAAAUCCUACACAUGAAUGUGUGAAUCUGCUAGUAAAAGACAACCAUUUGAGUACUGCAAAUAGUUUUAUUUUACUGUUGUCUCACCAGAGAUAAAACUUACUUGGCAAAGAUUAGUCCUUUGUGAAAAACCAUCUCAAUGGACUGUCCGAGUUAUAUAAGCAUAAAGCAUAGCAAAUGGCACCACUAUCCUCUUGGCCGCUCAACACAAAAAUUGAGAAGGUAUACUGGACUCCUCCCUUUCAUUCACCUCCAUCACCCCCAGCAUGCACACACACACACAGGAUCCAUCAGUAACUUCUGUGGACUCCACCUCCAACCUCUCUCUCCUUCCAUGGCCACUGCCUUGGUGCACACCACUGCAAUGACAGCCUCCCAGCUGGCCUCCACUGCCUUCUUUGCCUUCCUACAUUUUGUUCCCCACAUAGCAGCCAAUGUGCCCCUUUAAAAUGUAAAUCAGAUCCCCCUGCCCAUGCUUAAACUCCUCCAAACGCUUCCCAUUGCAGGUAGAAUGAAAUUCCAAUUGCUUAUCUGGCCCUUUGAAGUACCCACAGGUCUGAUCCUUGCCUACAUCCCUAACCUCAUCCUCUAUAAAGUUACCAUCCUUAACAAGGCUCGUUUUAUUCUGUGAACAAGCCAGGCAUGUCCCUGCCUCAGGGCCUUUUGUAAUUGCACUGCUGUCUCCUUGAAAUGCUUCCCCAAGAUCCACACUUGACCAGCUUCCUCUCAUCCUGCAGGCCUCGGCUCAAACAGGGCCUUCUCAGACAACCAAGGGCUUGGGGAAGCAAAGGAAGAAAGCAUGGUUAGACAGAUUGUUUUAAUGACU
rnacentral:lncRNA from 1 species